UUUUUUUUUUUGUUAAAAUAUUUUUUUUUGAAAAAUGCCCGCUGGGAACCGGCAGAACUGUCUGGAACCGUCAGAACCGGUCCAAAACCGCGAGCCGGUUCUGGUUCUGGCGGGUCCGGUUCUAGCAGUUCCAAGGGGUAGAACCGCUCCGCCACGGUUCCCUGGAACCGGUAGAAUCGGAACCGCUGGAACCGGGCCGCCAGAACCAACAGAACCGGAAGGCCACGGUUCCGGUCCAGUUCCGGUUCGGAACCGUCACGCAGUACACCCUUAAUCUAUGGCUUGCAUAUGACAAUUCUUACCAAAUCAAAAAAAUUAUUACUUUUUCAAUAACCGAGAAGUCCCUACGGGCCAAUGGCGUAUGAUUCGGAACUCAAUGCAUAAUGGCUCCUUUCAACUUAAAUACCAGACUUUGAAUGUGCCAGGGUUCAGAACCAUGGCGUGCAUCAAUGAAUAAAAGUUUAUCAAAACAAUGCCAAUUCCAGAACUCUAAAAUCAACAACUAACCAAACGAAGAUAACAAAAUCAGCUCCACAACUCAUAAUCAGCUAAUACUCAACAUCCAACUAAAUAUUGUUUCAUGAUCAUAAAUUAGAACAUUAAGCCCAAAACAGCCCUCAAAACCUAAACAUUGACGCGAAUAAGCAUAUAAACGAUGAUAAAAUUCUACAACGUUCGAGAAUUUGUUUUAUUCCUCCAGAAAAUUAAGUACAAAGUACCAUCACUGAGAAGGAAAAAGGGCACGAGUAAACCCUAGAAGGAUAGGAACAGAACAUACAGUUGUUGUUUUUUGGGCGGAUGAAAACUCAGUUAAUGUCGGAGUCAUCGAAAUCAUCCUGAAAGGAAUUGAAGAAGUCGGCGUCGGCGAGACGGAGGUGUUCGGCGGCGAGUGGGCCUUCACCGAAAAAAUCGAGCGCGUCCACUUCGUCAACGUCCAUCGCCAUUGUAGAUCCCUGUUCUUCCAUGUCUGCUAAGAAGUCCACAACCAUCGGCUUCAUUGCUGUAGAUUUUCAAGGGAUUUUGAUUUUUCCUCUUUCCCUCUACGGUUGCAAUGCGACUUGUACAAACUUGGGUAGGGGUGCAACGGCCUAUUUAUAUAUUUGAAAAAUCGGGUCAAAUAUGGACCGACUGAUCUUCAUCUUUACAUAAAUAGCCCAUUGUUUACUCUUCCUGACCAAUAUACA
rnacentral:lncRNA from 1 species